CCCCUGGAGGAUGAUCAACUGAUCUCUCACAUCCUUGCGGGGCUCGACAUGGAGUACCAGCCGCUGGUCUCAGCGCUGGAUGCUCGCACCAUCCCGGUCACGCUCGAUGAGCUCUUUGCUCAGAUGAGCAAUUUCGACC
rnacentral:snoRNA from 1 species